rnacentral:rRNA from 1 species
UGGGGAAUUUUGGACAAUGGGCGAAAGCCUGAUCCAGCAAUGCCGCGUGUGUGAAGAAGGCCUUCGGGUUGUAAAGCACUUUUGUCCGGAAAGAAAUCCUUGGCUCUAAUACAGUCGGGGGAUGACGGUACCGGAAGAAUAAGCACCGGCUAACUACGUGCCAGCAGCCGCGGUAAUACGUAGGGUGCAAGCGUUAAUCGGAAUUACUGGGCGUAAAGCGUGCGCAGGCGGUUUGCUAAGACCGAUGUGAAAUCCCCGGGCUCAACCUGGGAACUGCAUUGGUGACUGGCAGGCUAGAGUAUGGCAGAGGGGGGUAGAAUUCCACGUGUAGCAGUGAAAUGCGUAGAGAUGUGGAGGAAUACCGAUGGCGAAGGCAGCCCCCUGGGGCCAAUACUGACGCUCAUGCACGAAAGCGUGGGGAGCAAACAGGAUUAGAUACCCUGGUAGUCCACGCCCUAAACGAUGUCAACUAGUUGUUGGGGAUUCAUUCUAGUAACGUAGCUAACGCGUGAAGUUGACCGCCUGGGGAGUACGGUCGCAAGAUU